rnacentral:rRNA from 1 species
GAUGAACGCUGGCGGCGUGCCUAAUACAUGCAAGUCGAACGAGGUGCUUUUGUAGCAAUACGAGAGUAUCCUAGUGGCGAACGGGUGAGUAACGCGUUGGUGACCUACCCCAAAGUGUGGAAUAACAGUCCGAAAGGAUUGCUAAUACCGCAUGUGGUUAUCGGGUUUAGAAACUGAUAACUAAAGGAGCAAUUCGCUUUGGGAGGGACCUGCGUCCCAUCAGCUAGUUGGUGAGGUAAUGGCUCACCAAGGCUACGACGGGUAGGGGACCUGAGAGGGUGACCCCACACAAUGGAACUGAAACACGGUCCAUACACCUACGGGUGGCAGCAGUAGGGAAUAUUGCACAAUGGGCGAAAGCCUGAUGCAGCAACGCCGCGUGCACGAUGAAGGCCUUCGGGUCGUAAAGUGCUUUUCUGGGAGAUGAGAAAGGACAGUAUCCCAGGAAUAAGUCUCGGCUAACUACGUG